CUAAAAGUGCCAAAAUUAAAUAAAUAAAUACAUCAUUAAAUAAUUAAUUAAAUAUGUCAUUAAUUAAUUAAAAUUGGAAUUAAAUAUUUCAUUAAUUAAUUAAAAUUGGAAUUAAAUAUUUCAUUAAUUAAUUAAAAUUGGAAUGAAAUACUUAAAUGUGUUAUUAAAUAAAUAUAUCAUUAAAUAAUUAAAUAUGUCAUUAAUUAAUUAAAAUUGGCAUUAAAUAUGUCAUUAAUUAAUUAAAAUUGGCAUUAAAUAUGUCAUUAAUUAAUUAAAAUUGGAAUUAAAUACAUAAAUGUGUUAUUAAAUAUGUCAUUAAUUUAUUAAAAUAACAAUUAUUUUAAGUAAAAAACAUAUUUCAUUAUUUCACUAUUUAAUUAAUUAUUUCAUGGUCCUUGCGUUGCAGUGGAUCAUGAAUUUAUUUUAUCUGUCAACCUCGCCCGUCAAAGUCGGUGGGCGGAUCCUAACACCUGAUUGGUUACCCUGCACAUCAAGUCAAGGCAAAUCGAUUCCAGAUAAUGGAUUGACGCAGAGCUUGUGAACACAUUCCGAUACACUGGGUGGCGCUAUUCACCUCUACGUUGGUUUGGAUACUCAAUAAAACAAAACUUUAUUAGCAACCGCUAAAGACUCGGUCCUCUUUCCCAAAUGUUGAUACAUGCGGUGCAAGACAAAUUUUCCUUUAGCAUUUCCUUUAGCAUCUACUCGGCGCGCCACGGCUCGUCUCGGUUUAGUUGUUUUUCCAUUACAUUGAGUACCACCUCAUCGUGGGUUGAGUCGUCAUAGCACGGUGGCCCGAAAGUCCCUUACCGUCAUUUUUGUGCGACACAAACGCAAUGCAACAAUGUACAUGGAGGCGAUAGUACACCUGCUGCUCGGUCUGUGGCUUUCUGUCAGAUUCAGAGUAACAGAAGAGUCGGAGAAAGCUGAGAGCGGCGAGUCGAAACACUCAGGAGACACACAGGAGAGUUUGGGAGGCGAUACAGCAGUAUCAAGCCGAAGACGAGGAUAUGAACGAGACGACAUAUGAGGAUGCUCUCUGAUGAGACUUCAUGGGAUUUACCUGAAGCAGCAGCACAUGAGCCUGCAGUGGCACAAGGUGUAGAGGAGGAGGGCAGAGAUGUACAGGAUGCACUGAUGCACUACGUGUCAUGCAAAAGUUAAAAGUUGUUCUUCUUGUUAUACUUCUGUUUUUCUGUCCCCGGACCGCUAUUGUUUUCUUUAAUGCAAUUCUGACAAUAAACUUUUGUAGAUGUG